CCUACGGGAGGCUGCAGUCGAGAAUUAUUCACAAUGGGGGAAACCCUGAUGGUGCGACGCCGCGUGCGGGAAUGAAGCUCUUCGGAUUGUAAACUCCUGUCAUGUGGGAGCAAAUUACAACGCUAGUACCACAAUAGGAAGAGCCGGCUAACUCUGUGCAAGCAGCCGCGGUAAUACAGAGGUCUCAAGCGUUGUUCGGAAGCACUGGGCGUAAGGCGUGCGUAGGCUGUUUCGUAAGUCGUGUGUGAAAGGCGCGGGCUCAACCCGCGGAUGGCACAUGAUACUGCGAGACUAGAGUAAGGGAGGGGGAACCGGAAUUCUCGGUGUAGCAGUGAAAUGCGUAGAUAUCGAGAGGAACACUCGUGGCGAAGGCGGGUUACUGGACAGUAACUGACGCUGAGGCACGAAGGCGAGGGGAGCGAAAGGGAUUAGAUACCCUGGUAGUC
rnacentral:rRNA from 1 species